GAUGAACGCUGGCGGCGUGCCUAAUACAUGCAAGUCGAGCGAACAGACGAGGAGCUUGCUCCUUUGACGUUAGCGGCGGACGGGUGAGUAACACGUGGAUAACCUACCUAUAAGACUGGGAUAACUUCGGGAAACCGGAGCUAAUACCGGAUAACAUGUUGAACCGCAUGGUUCAACAGUGAAAGACGGUCUUGCUGUCACUUAUAGAUGGAUCCGCGCCGCAUUAGCUAGUUGGUAAGGUAACGGCUUACCAAGGCAACGAUGCGUAGCCGACCUGAGAGGGUGAUCGGCCACACGGGAACUGAGACACGGUCCAGACUCCUACGGGAGGCAGCAGUAGGGAAUCUUCCGCAAUGGGCGAAAGCCUGACGGAGCAACGCCGCGUGAGUGAAGAAGGUCUUCGGAUCGUAAAACUCUGUUAUUAGGUAAGAACAAAUGUGUAAGUAACUAUGCACGUCUUGACGGUACCUAAUCAGAAAGCCACGGCUAACUACGUG
rnacentral:rRNA from 1 species